GAUGAACGCUGGCGGCGUGCCUAAUACAUGCAAGUCGAGCGAACAGACGAGGAGCUUGCUCCUCUGACGUUAGCGGCGGACGGGUGAGUAACACGUGGAUAACCUACCUAUAAGACUGGGAUAACUUCGGGAAACCGGAGCUAAUACCGGAUAAUAUAUUGAACCGCAUGGUUCAAUAGUGAAAGACGGUUUUGCUGUCACUUAUAGAUGGAUCCGCGCCGCAUUAGCUAGUUGGUAAGGUAACGGCUUACCAAGGCAACGAUGCGUAGCCGACCUGAGAGGGUGAUCGGCCACACUGGAACUGAGACACGGUCCAGACUCCUACGGGAGGCAGCAGUAGGGAAUCUUCCGCAAUGGGCGAAAGCCUGACGGAGCAACGCCGCGUGAGUGAAGAAGGUCUUCGGAUCGUAAAACUCUGUUAUUAGGGAAGAAAAAAUGUGUAAGUAACUAUGCACGUCUUGACGGUACCUAAUCAGAAAGCCCCGGCUAACUACGUG
rnacentral:rRNA from 1 species